CUGGGAUGCCGGAGCAUCUGGUGCGGCAUGCGGGCGAAGAGCGGUAUGUCAGGGAGAACGAGGGCGACGCAAGAAACCCGUGAUGGAGGAGCCCGUGCCGGUCAGCACUGGCAUGAGUGAUGAGUGGCCAAGUUGAUUUUGGUAUCCGACAUCCUCCACAACAGCAGCAGUGGACACGUGCAGAAUGCCGGGUACUACAGGAAUGGCUACGAGUGAUGAACUGCUUCCGCGCAUGGGAAGACGGGGCGUUGUAUCCCCCCAAAUACCUGAUCAAACUGCAGAACGUCUUCCUGGGUUUGGAGCCGGGCGAUGGGUACCCGUUUAUCUGACCGCCUUC